UUAAAAUAUUUCAUUAUAUAUAUAUAUAUAUAUAUAUGCUUAAUUUGCGCGCAAUUGUCACACACAUUUCUGUUACUCGCUGUGAUCCCGGACCUCUAGCCACUGUCGGAUCCAUUUUUCCCAUUUACUUGAACUGAGGGCGUAACCCAGACAAAUUUCUUUUGACCUCGGGACGCUACCCAGGCAGGCCUUACAUUCCAUGCUUCGGAACACAUCUAGCAAGUAUCCUUAUAACGCCUCUUAGUUAGUGCCCGAUGAAGAUCAACCCACCAAGUCAGCUAACGAGUGUACACAAUUCUCAAAUGACGUGUUAGGUCAUAAGAGAACCUUGAACGAUUCGUUGUGGCGAGCCUUAAACAGAGCAGAGUACACAAAAAUAUUUAUUGGAUAAACAGUUUAUAUUUCACGAAACAUUUAAGCUCAUUAGCUCAAUCAUACAUUUGGAAAUAAGCCCACCUGUAUAGACAAUGCCUAUCGUUUAAUCUUAUCUCUGAAUCGGAACAGCAGUGCUAGUCCUCACGAUCCACAAAGCCUACAAGAAAUAUAUCAUUUUAAUAAAUCUCCUGAAUCUAAUCUUAAGUCAUGGUAAAGUGAUUAACAUUCUAUGAUUCACUUAGUCGGGUUUUCAAAAUUUAAUGAAUAAAUAAUUGAAAACUAAAAUCCUUGAGUUAAGAACACCAACAAUAUCCUUACUCGAUUUUUCAUUCAUAAUUAGAUUUAUGAAAACCAAUUUAAAUCAUGAUGCAAAUGCACAACUCAUGUUAUACUUUAAUCAUAUACUAAGCAAUUACUUAAAAUAUACACAUAAUAAUAAGGUAAUAUUAUUAUGCAAAUUACUCUUUAAAUAAAUAAAUUAAACUAAUUAAUAGUUCAAUUAAUUAAUAUGAGUAUAGUCCAUUUAAUUAAUAGGAGGCAGCCCACAAUUUUAAAUAAAUGAAGGCCCAACAUCAUUUUAAAUAAACGGAGCCCAAUUGAAAUGAAAAUGGCCCAAUCCUUCCACCCCAUUCGAAGAAGCCGUUCGUCCUCUCUCUUCAAAAAAAAAAUCCGCUCAUCUCUCCCUCCCUCACAGAAUUUCGCUCGUCUCUCCCUCUCGAAUUCACGGCCGCCGCGGAAGCCCCUCCUCCGGCGAGGAGCCGCCGACGCGCGUCGUCUCCGGUCAUCCUCAACAUCACCCUCGACUGAUCGGAACCCUAGUCCCUCUAUUCUCCUCUCUUCCGGCGACUACAGCAGCGACGAGCCGCUGCUGCGCCUGAACCCUAGCCACCCCAAUCCAGUCGCCCUUAGCCUCCUCUCUUCUCUCCCUCCGUCCGUGGCCGAGCGACAGAGGCAGGGCAGCCGCGCCCUGGCCUCCCUCUGCAAAAACCUAGCCUAAUCAAGCCACCGCCCCAACCCUUGUUCUCUCCUUCUCCGACAACAGCCAAGGUCAAGACUCACACACACACCCAUCGAAGCAGUCGCCCAUCUCCCUCUACCCUCUGCUCACUCCGACCGGCGGACAACAGUGGCGCCAAGCCACCACCUCCGCCUCCCUGACUCCGACCGACAGCAGUAGAUGGAGCAGACUGCCGUCGCCGUCCUGACCUCCCUCCACCUCUCGACUCUAAACCACAACGAGGUAAACUCUUCUUCCUUACCCAACUCGACACAGCAGCCCAAAGUUGAAAGUAAACUCAUAAAAAUUCUUUCUUUAAAUCAUUCAAACUUGUAUAACAGAGUAUAGUAUAGCUCCCAUUCAAAAAUAUACAUAUAUAUACAGAAAUGAUGAGAUGGUUAUGCUCAUAUGAUAUGUCAUGAAUCUACUGCUUAACAACGUGUAUAAACUCGUGUGGUUUGCUGAAAUAAGAUUUGAGAGGUGUUUAAAUCAUAUGCAGUAGAUGUAGGUGUUCAAGAUGAAACCUUUGAAAGACAAUGAUAUGUGCUUGUUGGUUUUUCUCUGCUUCUUUUGCCUUUGGUGGUGAGGAUGGGGAAUGAGAAUUUACUGAAAUGAAGUCAUGUUGCUCUUUGGUGAAUGCAGGAAGAAACCUGUAGAGAAAUGGGGAAGAUUGAGGCAAGGAUUACCUUGGAUGCUUGCAGAAAUGAGUGAAGUUCUCCUGCUCUCCUCGUGGAG
rnacentral:lncRNA from 1 species